rnacentral:rRNA from 1 species
UACGUAGGGACCGAGCGUUGUCCGGAAUCAUUGGGCGUAAAGAGCGUGUAGGCGGCCAGAAAAGUCCGCUGUGAAAACUCGAGGCUCAACUUCGAGCUGUCGGUGGAAACUUUCUGGCUAGAGUCCGGAAGAGGAGAAUGGAAUUCCUGGUGUAGCGGUGAAAUGCGCAGAUAUCAGGAAGAACACCCGUGGCGAAGGCGGUUCUCUGGGACGGUACUGACGCUGAGACGCGAAAGCGUGGGGAGCGAACAGG